GCCUGGCUAGCUCAGUCGGCUAGAGCGUGGUGCUAAUAAUGCCAAGGUUGCAGGUUUGAUCCCUGUAUGGGACU
rnacentral:tRNA from 1 species